UAUGAAGUUAAUUAAUUAAUUCUUUAUUUAAUUAAAAUUUUCUUCAGAAUGAAGGUGAAACAGAUGAAGUCCAAAAUUAUUAUCUUGGCCUGUGAACGUUGAGGAACCAUGGUAAUAUAGAGAAGCAAAUCUGUCAUCAUUUCUGUUGAUGAUCAAAGCUGUGUCGGUGAUCGGGAGUCGUGAGAGAUUGCGGGUACUCAAAAGCGGAGCAGCAAACAAGAUGGACGCCACGACAUCUACAGAACAGAGAGGGAGAAAGAGAGAAAAAAGAAUGAAUGACAGAGAACGUCAGAGCCCCAAGGAUCCUCCUACCUGCUCUGUCUUCGCGGGACACAUCAAC